GCGCGUUGGCAUUAUGAGAAAUAUCUGAGAGACAAAGAUCCAAAUUCAGCCUAUACGAAAAGAAUACACAUGCAUUGUCAUCACAUGCAUCUGCCCUUAUCAAUCUUUGAAGGAGAAACCAGCAUCGGAAGAUCCUUACCCAAAGAAACGGCUUGGUUAUGAAGUUCUAGUGAAGUGGACACUUCGGUUGUCAGGCAUCAACCAGCAAUGUAGUGGAGGAGACUAAUGACACACUGCCAAUCCCGAUAUGCGUGACACUGUGACGCGGCAACACAUACAGAAGAUCCCACUAUAUCAGAUCACAGCUGUGCUGUCAGUGCACCAUUUGACCUGCCCCUUCUGUGUAAUCAGGCAAAACAGUAUACUAAUCCAAAAUAUAUUAAUGGGUGACAGAAGAAGCCCACUCAGACACCUUGAAGUACACGAGGGUUUAGAGUGGAUUUGUUUAUUGUGGUCGUUUGCUGUUUAUUCAUGUAUUUUGACCUUUAUUUCAUCAGACCACUCUUGAUUUGUUGUUUGCCCUUUUCUUGGAUACAUCUGCCACUGUAUAUAUAUCUUGUACAUAGUCAUAAAUUUGUAUAUUUAAUUGUCUUGUGUACAACUAUUGCCUUUAUGUGUGCAGUCACUUGUGUAUAUUCCAAACUGCCGCUUAGCGUACCAUCUCAGAGUGCGGGAAUUUGGAUGAAACCCUUCCUGCAUUGUGAGGAGUUCCCUGGUCUUGAUGUCAGUGGGUUCUGUCUCGUCCUUUGGCCAGCUGAUAAUGCUAGGUGAGUGUCUGAUGACUGGUAGAGCCUAGGUGUUGAUAGGCUGGGUCUUGUUCUUCCCAUUCAGCUAGCUCCUCAGGACUUGGAUCACCCCUUAUAGGUGUGUGUGUGUGUGUGUAAGUAAUUGUCAACUUUAGCAUUUUAUCUUCCCCACCAUCUACAACACCCUUUCACUUAAGACACAUAAGUGUUGAGAGCUAUUUGGACAUGGCCUUCCCCAUCACGAACAGACAACUGAAGCAACAGCCUUGAAAUGCAGUGAUGACUAAUUUGAGUAGUUUCUGAAAGAAAACUACAGUAUUAUAUUUUUUAUCAUGCGCUAUAUUAUCACACUGGUCCAUGGAAUCUGUUUCAUGCCCUUGGGGGGGGGGGGAGUGAGUGUGUGUGUGUGUGUGUGUGUGUGAGUGAGUAUGUAUGUGUGUGUUUAAAGGUGUAAAGGUGGGUCUUGCUAGUGAGGACAAUCCUGAAUAGAGGAGUAUAUGAUCUGCUCACUUCUCCUCUGUGACACUGCUGGAAGCGUCUGACUGCCAGCUCCUCGAUGGCCUCACCUCAAGAAAAGAAAGAUAAAAUGGCAUUUCAGCAUCAGCGUGAGCUUCCACCAGACUCCUAUGUCAGAGAACUGAAUUGCCCCAAUCCUGUUGAUGCGGUGAUGAGUGUGCUUGAAACUCGGCAGCUGAGAGUCCUAACGAGGUGCCCACUGAGGGUGGGCCUCAGUUGUGCUAACUCCACUUACCAUUAUGAAAAGCAUCACUGCUGAAUGAGAAAAGGGACCUUGGGACUUUGACAUUCUACAGUACUUUAGCCAGGUGUACAGGCUUCUGUCAUCAAUCAUCACGUAAAUGGAAACACACGUUGACAAGUUAAUUUAUAGAUCGACUCAUGGUUAGUCUAAAAAGUAUAAGUCCAUGUACAGACUUGGGUUAUUUUACACUACAUGUUAGGGUUCUAGUCUAUCCUUUUAUGUGGUUUCAGGUAGAUGGCUGCAAAAUACAUACAUUCAAAAUUCAUCUUUAUUUUCAGGAUGUUUGCUACUGUAAACAGUAUAUUUGUAUUUUACUUGGCAUGCAAUAGUGUUUUUAAUAACAUACUUGUAAAAACAACAGUAAUGAAACUUAAACCAAAAUACAUAUCAGAUAUUUUAUGUCUAGUUAUAUUAAUUACAAACUUAUAAAGACACAGUGGUAUUCACUAUCACACUGGUUACGUACAAAGGUUCAAGGAGGAGUUUAUUGAAUUUAGUAUAGGUUCAAUUUCUCAAUUAUGUAAUAGAAUUCAUACCUGUUAACCAAUCUGUAAAUCAAAUAUGAAUACAGCUGGUGGAAAGCCUGCAGAAUUUGAUUACUAACCAGACAUGCAGGUUUCUUAUAACAUCAAAAGAGUCUGUUGUUGGGAGACGGAUUGUAGCUCCCUUGUAGCAGCUGACUUGAACUCCCUCUGGGGAUCAGAGGCGGGUGGGUAGUGACAUUAGCAGGAUGAGCUCAGGGUUUUCAGGAUACUUAAACGCUGGGGGAUGUGGGAUAAAAGGACCUGGCCAAAGCCGGGGAGGGGAACAUGCCGAGUGGCCUGCAGAUAAUCCUAUAGCCUC